rnacentral:rRNA from 1 species
UACUUACACGAGUCCGAUAGCAAACAAGUACCGUGAGGGAAAGUUGAAAAGUACUUUGAAGAGAGAGUAAACAGUGCGUGAAACCGUUCAGAGGUAAACGGGUGGAGUUGAACUGCGAACUCUGAGAAUUCAACUGAUAAGCGUGGUUUGCGCUCGGGCUUAUUGGCCAGCCUUCUGUGUCUGUCUAACGACAGGUGCCUGCUCCGCCGGCGGGUAUGUGGGAUGCACUUAUCACGUGCCACACGCAUUGGAGGUGAGUGGUCUGCUUGUCAGUGCACUUUCUCAGGGUGUUCACCACGACCGGCAUUGCUGUCUGUCUGCUUUGGUCGAACUGAUCAGGUCUGGUCAUUGCUAGGCUUGGUUGGGAUAGAAGGUAGCUCAUUUGUUCAUUUUAUGGACUGUGAGUGUAAUUAGCUGACCAUAGUGGAUCUGUACGGUAUGCUGGAGAUGACGGCUUUGCAUACGUGCUCUGCCUUCGGACGGGAUUAAGUUCGGCCGGCUUGUUACCAGCCUAUGUUGGUCCGUCGGUGGCUUGAUUCUGUUCUGUUGGCGGUUGCGUGUGUGACAUGGUAUGGGCCAAUAGUCUGUGGUGUUGUGGUAGACGAUCCACCUGACCCGUCUUGAAACACGGACCAAGGAGUUUAACAUGUACGCGAGUCAUUGGGCGUUACGAAACCCAAAGGCGAAGUGAAGGUAAAGGUUCGGCCUGUCCGGACUGAGGUGAGAUCCCGUUGUUUUGCCAAGUAAAUUUUCGAGAUGCGAGCAUCGGGCGCAUCACCGGCCCGUCCCAUGACGUAGACAUGUGACUUCGUGUCGUGUGCACCGUCGGGGCGGAGCAAGAGCGUACACGUUGAGACCCGAAAGAUGGUGAACUAUGCUUG